rnacentral:snRNA from 1 species
GUGCUUACUUCAGCAUCACAUAUACUAAAAUUGGAACUAUACAGAGAAGAUGCACAAAGAUGACAAGUAAAGUCGUGAAGUAUUCCAUAUUAAA